rnacentral:rRNA from 1 species
UAGAUGAAUUUGGUGCUUGCACCCAAAUGAAACUAGAUACAAGCGAGCGGCGGACGGGUGAGUAACACGUGGGUAACCUGCCCAAGAGACUGGGAUAACACCUGGAAACAGAUGCUAAUACCGGAUAACAACACUAGACGCAUGUCUAGAGUUUAAAAGAUGGUUCUGCUAUCACUCUUGGAUGGACCUGCGGUGCAUUAGCUAGUUGGUAAGGUAACGGCUUACCAAGGCAAUGAUGCAUAGCCGAGUUGAGAGACUGAUCGGCCACAUUGGGACUGAGACACGGCCCAAACUCCUACGGGAGGCAGCAGUAGGGAAUCUUCCACAAUGGACGCAAGUCUGAUGGAGCAACGCCGCGUGAGUGAAGAAGGGUUUCGGCUCGUAAAGCUCUGUUGGUAGUGAAGAAAGAUAGAGGUAGUAACUGGCCUUUAUUUGACGGUAAUUACUUAGAAAGUCACGGCUAACUACGUGCCAGCAGCCGCGGUAAUACGUAGGUGGCAAGCGUUGUCCGG